GAUUAGCCAAAAUUGUGAAUGAUUGUGUAGUAUGGUAAUUGUCAUAAUUUUCCCUUGCCAGGUAGCUAAGCUACAUUAGCAAGAAGGAGGAGCAUUACUGGAACAUCGCAAAAUCAGGAAACCUCCACUCAGGCAGACGUGGAAACCCACCUCUCACUGCCAAGCACUCCCAGGCUGAUCAUGCUUGUGAAGAAGACUUCAGUCUACAACUCUACACUCCAUUUCUCCAGCUAUCUGUUGUGAUCAGGACGUUCUCUAGUUUUGUGGAAAAUACAUUCCCAGUUGUAACUGUUCAUAAGCUGUGUGUGUGUG